UCAUCUCUUAACAUCUUUCACACUGCCACAUUCAAGGAGCAGAAGACUCAUUUGGACGCUUGUAAGAAAUCCUGCUACGCCCUCCGACAAAACCAUCAAACAGGCAAAGCAUCAAUACAGGAGUAAAAUCGAAUCUUACUACACUGGCUCUGAAGCUCGUCGGAUGUGGCAGGGCUUGCAAACUAUCACUGAUUACAAAGGGAAUCCCAGCCGCGAGCUACGCAGGGACGUAAGCCUACCAGACGAGCUAAAGGUUUUUUAUGUUCGCUUCGAGGCAAGCAACUGUGUAAUCAAUCUCUCCGUAGCCGAUUGUUGGGAAGGGCCCAUAAGAACUAAACUAAACAUCGAGCUUGACUUACGGACUGACUAAAAUGGAAACCAGGUGUGGAUCCUGGAGCAGCGGACCAACUCAGAAUCCAAUUAUCCAAUAGGACAAGCCAAAAAACCUAUUAUAAAACAUGAAGGGUUGUUUUACCUGUGAGGGGGCGUCCUUUGCGGGAGGAGUGUGUGAUGGGCAGCGCGAGGGGCUCAGGUCCAGUUGGGAGUUGCAGGGAAGAUCUGUGAGGUCAGCGGACAGCAUUUCAGACCACUACGGUUGUCUGCUGCAGGACCCUCAGCCUGGGGUACAGCCACUAUGGAGAAAGGGAAAGAACAUAUAUGAAUCAAUAAGAAACAUCGUGAUGAUGCUCUGCAUCAGAAUACUAGAAGCAGAAUACUGUAAUGAUCAUAUGGCCCUCUUAAGCCCAUUACGAACUGGCUAGCACGUUUGGUCAGGCGAACCGGGUUUUAUUCUCCGCAUUGGAAGCUACUCACCUCUGCUGUUAUCUACAAUUUGGAUGGUACUGAAGUUGGCAACACUUUAUUUGGAUAGUCCUUAGUAGAUGGUUUGUAGAUAGUCAGUAGAUGUUCAAUAACUGUCAACAACAUUUCAACUAAACAUCCACUAACCCUAAACUUAACCCAUACCCUAAUUCUAAACUUAACCCAUAUCCUAACCCUUACCCUAAUUCUAAACUUAACCCAUACCCUAACCCUUACCCUAAUUCUAAACUUAACCAUACCCUAACCCUUACCCUAAUUCUAAACCUAGCCCAUCCCUAACCGUAACCUUAGCAAGCAGUUGCUUAUCAAAAGAUAGUUUGUUGAUAAUUUGACCAUCUGAAAGUAUUUGUAUUGUAUAUUUGUGUUUAUUAUGGAUCCCCAUUAGUUCCUGCCAAGGCAGCAGCUACUCUUCCUGGGGUUUAUUAGG